CUCGAGCUAAUACCGGAUGUCUUCUUCGUGAUCGCAUGGUCGGAUGAAGAAAGAUUUAUCGCUUCGGGAGGGUCUCGCGGCCUAUCAGCUAGUUGGCGGGGUAACGGCCCACCAAGGCGUCGACGGGUAGCUGGUCUGAGAGGACGAUCAGCCACACUGGGACUGAGACACGGCCCAGACUCCCUACGGGAGGCAGCAGUGGGGAAUAUUGCGCAAUGGGCGAAAGCCUGACGCAGCAACGCCGCGUGCGGGAUGAAGGCCUUCGGGUUGUAAACCGCUUUCAGUGGGGACGAAUUCAGACGGUACCCACAGAAGAAGCCCCGGCCAACUACGUG
rnacentral:rRNA from 1 species